rnacentral:rRNA from 4 species
CGUGGUGUUGGGGCGUUCUGCGGCCGGGCCUGCGCCCAGCAGGCCUCCGCAGCCCCCGAAAGCCAGCGGCGGGCCGGCAGCUGGCUCCGAGCGCAGUAAGCAGCAGUGCCCUCGCUCUGGACGCCUCCGCCUGCGCCCUGCCCCAAAUGACCGGCAGACGCAAGUCUGUCCCUCCUUUCUCUCAAGGUUGACCUCGGAUCAGGUAGGACUACCCGCUGAACUUAAGCAUAUCAAUAAGCGGAGGAAAAGAAACCAACAGGGAUUGCCCCAGUAACGGCGAGUGAAGCGGCAACAGCUCAGAUUUGGAAUCUGGCCCCCAGGGCCCGAGUUGUAAUCUGGAGAGGAUGCUUCUGGCGCGGCGCCUUCCGAGUUCCCUGGAACGGGACGCCGGAGAGGGUGAGAGCCCCGUACGGUUGGACGCCUAGCCUUUGUGAAGCUCCUUCGACGAGUCGAGUAGUUUGGGAAUGCUGCUCAAAAUGGGAGGUAAAUUUCUUCUAAAGCUAAAUACCGGCCAGAGACCGAUAGCGCACAAGUAGAGUGAUCGAAAGAUGAAAAGCACUUUGAAAAGAGGG